rnacentral:lncRNA from 1 species
AUACGAAGGAUGGAGGAAUACCCCCAAAGGCACAAAACAAAUGUCCUAGAGUGGGAAAACUCAGAGGAGGGUAUGAUAGUAAUGCAAAAUUUAGAAACAAUUCAGAAUCAAGUAAUCUGCUAGCUAAGUUGAUAGUGCGCCAACAUCAGGAUACGAGGCAGUUUUUCACUCAACUAUCAGAAAGCCAAGAGAAAAAGGAGGUUAACCAUAAUGAAAACCCAUAUCUCUCCAUGAUGAACUAGCUAAAUGAAGAAGAUCAAAGCAGGCUGAAAGUACAAGAAAAGGGGGAUGAUAAAAUUGCUAGAAGAUCUCGUCAAUGGAAAAAUCGCUCGGGGGAAUGAGAAUUCUCAAAGAAGAAAGAUCAAACAACCUCCAAAAGAGCCCAAAAAUUCACCCCGCUGAGCAAAUUAAAUGAA